UAUUAUAUACAUUGGCUGUCCCAGACUUGAGGAAUUUAAAAGCUUUUGACCAAAAGAGAAUUUAUGUUGCCACUUAUCACAAACAAGAAUUUCGAAUUUGC